rnacentral:rRNA from 1 species
UACGGAGGGUGCAAGCGUUAAUCGGAAUUACUGGGCGUAAAGCGUGCGCAGGCGGUUUGUUAAGUCUGUUGUGAAAUCCCCGAGCUCAACUUGGGAAUUGCAAUGGAUACUGGCAGGCUGGAGUAUGGUAGAGGAAGGUGGAAUUCCCGGUGUAGCAGUGAAAUGCGUAGAGAUCGGGAGGAACACCAGUGGCGAAGGCGGCCUUCUGGGCCAAUACUGACGCUCAUGCACGAAAGCGUGGGGAGCAAACAGA